GUGUUAACUACACCUGCGAAUGCCUUACUAGGAGUCCCGCACUGGUCUGUGCACUUGACAGGUGUCAACUCUUGCAACCCACUCUGACUUCCUUUCUGUCAUACUUCCCAUCACACCGGACAACACUGGGAUGGAUACAGGCAUUCUGAGCCUCCAGCCAAGAGGUUGCUGAUCUCUACACUACUCCUAACCGGAAUCCUGUAUCACCCACUCCCAUAGAACUACAGCUGGAUUCAAAAGAGGACUCCGAGAUCUUAGAGGCGAUGGUGUCACAAGAUGGGAAGGAGCAGAAGGCCACCUGCUGAACACCCUCUGGGAACCAUUAUGGCUCCUCUUUCAUGGACAAUCCUGGUUUUUUAAAGAAUUUCAAAUGAACACCAUGACCUACCUAUAGAUGGAGAAGGA